GAUGAACGCUGGCGGCGUGCCUAAUACAUGCAAGUCGAGCGAACAGACGAGGGGCUUGCUCCUUCGACGUUAGCGGCGGACGGGUGAGUAACACGUAUGUAACCUACCUCUAAGACUGAUAUAACUUCGGGACACCGGAGCUAAUACCGGAUAAUAUUUCGAACCGCAUGGUUCUAUAGUGAAAUAUGGCUUUGCUAUCACUUAUAGAUUGUCCUGCGCGGUAUUGGCUAGUUGGUAAGGUAACGGCUUACCAAGGCAACGAUUCGUAGCGGAACUGAGAGGGUGAUAGGCGACACUGGAACUGAGACACGGUCCAGAGUCCUAAGGGAGGGAGCAGUAGGGAAUCUUCCGCAAUGGGCGAAAGCCUGACGGAGCAAGGCCGAGUGAGUGAUGAAGGUCUUCGGUUCGUAAAACUCUGUUAUUAGGGAAGAACAAAUGUGUAAGUAACUGUGCACGUCUUGACGGUACCUAAUCAGAAAGCCACGGCUAACUACGUG
rnacentral:rRNA from 1 species